GAACUUUUGAUACCUUUUCUGAAAUUCUCCAGUCAUUAAAUCUUUUACAAAAUUCAUUGAUUACAAAAAAGAAGAUGUGGUAUGAUUGCCAUGUUGAGACAACUCUCCACAAGAGACCAAUAUGACACAGAAAUUAACAACUAUAGGUCACCGUACGACCUUCAACAACGAGCAAAGCCCAUACCGCAUACUCAGCUUUAAAAGGCCCCGAACUGACAAUGUAAAACAAUUCAAACCAGAAACCAGAAAACUAGCGGCCUUAUUUAUGUACAAAAAAUGAACGAAAAACAAAUAUGUAACACAUAAACAAACGACAACCACUGAAUAACAGGCUCC
rnacentral:lncRNA from 1 species